UUUCAAACAAAUAAUAAGAAUUCUUAAAAAAAUAUUAGAAGGAUCACAAAUAUCACUCAAAUACAUCUCAAUUCAAUCUUAAUUUAAUUCUAGUUAAAAUCCUAUUGAACUUCAUUCAAACUUUAGGCCAAAACUAAUUGAAUCUUAAAUCUUAAUAAAGUCCUAAACCCUGAAUCAAACCCUAAAUAAACCUUAAACCAAACCCCAACCAAAUCCUAAACCAAAUCCUAACCAAACCCUAAACCAAAUCCUAAACCCUAAA
rnacentral:lncRNA from 1 species